UACGUAGGUGACCAGCGUUGUCCGGAUUUACUGGGCGUAAAGAGCGCGCAGGCGGUCGUUCAAGUCGAGUGUGAAAGCCCCCGGCUCAACUGGGGAGGGUCACUCGAUACUGAUCGACUUGAAGGCAGGAGAGGGAAGCGGAAUUCCGGGUGGAGUGGUGAAAUGCGUAGAGAUCCGGAGGAACACCAGAGGCGAAGGCGGCCUACUGGGCUGCACCUGACGCUGAGCCGCGAAAGCCAGGGGAGCGAACGGG
rnacentral:rRNA from 1 species